GACGAACGCUGGCGGCGUGCUUAACACAUGCAAGUCGAACGGAAAGGCCCUGCUUUUGUGCGGUUCUCGAGUGGCGAACGGGUGAGUAACACGUGAGUAACCUGCCCUUGACUUUGGGAUAACUUCAGGUAACUGGGGCUAAUCCCAGAUAGGAGCUCCUGCUGCAUGGUGGGCGUUGGAACGUUUCGGCGGUCGCGGAUGGACUCGCGGGUUACCAGCUUGUUGGUUGGCGAGUGGCUUACCAAGGCUUUGACGGGUAGCCGGCCUGGGAGGGUGACCGGCGACCUUGGGACUGAGGGACGGACCAGACUGGUACGGGGGGCAGCGGUGGGGAGUAUUACACAGUGGGCGGAAGCCUGAUGCAGAAACGCCGCGUGCGGGAAGACGGCCUGCGGGUUGUAAACCGCUUUCGCCUGUGACGAAGCGUGAGUGACGGUAAUGGGUAAAGAAGCACCGGCUAACUACGUG
rnacentral:rRNA from 1 species